AGAGUUUGAUCCUGGCUCAGGACGAACGCUUGCGGCGUGCCUAAGAAAUGCAAGUCGAACGGAUGGGAUUUAUCCCUUCAGUGGCGAACGGUCGCGUAACACGUAAGGAACCUGCCCUAAAGUGGGGGAUAACAGCCCGAAAGGGUUGCUAAUACCGCAUAUGGAUAUAGAGAGGCAUCUCUUUGUAUCUAAAGCCUUGUGCGCUUUAGGAUGGUCUUGCGGCCUAUCAGCUUGUUGGUGGGGUAACGGCCUACCAAGGCUUUGACGGGUAGCUGGUCUGAGAGGACGAUCAGCCGGAUUGGGACUGAGAUACGGCCCAGACUCCUACGGGGGGCAGCAAUUAGGAAUCUUGCACWAUGGGGGAAAACCCUGAUGCAGCGACGCCGCGUGCGGGAUGACGGCAUUCGUGUUGURAACCGCUUUUGACAGGGAAGAAGAAUGUGACGGUACCUGUCGAAUAAGCCCCGGCUAACUACGUGCCAGCAGCCGCGGUAAUACGUAGGGGGCGAGCGUUGUCCGAAGUUACUGGGCGUAAAGCGCGCGUAGGCGGUCUUUCAAGUCUGGGGUGAAAGGUUCACGGCUCAACCGGAACAGUGCCUUGGAUACUGGGAGACUUGAAUCUGGCAGAGGAUAGUGGAAUUCCUGGUGUAGCGGUGAAAUGCGUAGAUAUCAGGAGGAACACCGAUGGCGAAGGCAGCUAUCUGGGCUAAGAUUGACGCUGAGGUGCGAAAGCGUGGGGAGCGAACGGGAUUAGAUACCCCGGUAGUCCACGCCGUAAACGAUGAGUGCUAGGUGUUCGGGGUAUCGACCCCCCGGGCGCCGUCGCUAACGCAUUAAGCACUCCGCC
rnacentral:rRNA from 1 species